CGCCACGCCACUUUCCUGUUCAAGUGAGCACAGCACAACAAGUGGCUUUGCUGGCAUGCAUCCCACAUUUUCUUUGCCCAACCAAGAUUGACAUGCUAAAAUCACCACUGGCUAGCAAUCAUACCAAACAGGUGUAUGUGCCUGUCUGUACACUGUACAAGGAUCAUUCAAGGCUAUCCAGCCCCAGCUAACACGGAUUGACAUACAUUUUGACCAUCACCACCUCUCUGCCAUCAGGUUGUUGGCCUGAGGUAGGACUAAAUAGAUUGGAUGCAGAAUUACAAUCCCUUACAAUACCUCACAUCCUACACAUCUUCAGCGGAGAAGAACAUCCAUAGACACAGAGCUGCUGCAGCAGAUAUACCACUUCCUACAGGGGUUAGUGUGUGAGGGCUCUAACAUGCUGCUCCCUCUGAGGAAGAACGUCCUGAAAAACAUGGCCUUCCCCUCCUUUCACCAGGACACACACUUCUCAACCUCUAUAUACUGUAUACACUUCCGACCAAAUGCCCUGGUGGGCCAACACGUCAAACUGUGGUCAGAGGGAGCUGGGGUGCAGACAUCAGAUGGUGGAGAGGAUGGUUGACUCAGUGGAGGACAUCCCAGCCACUUGGCAGUGUUGGCACUGUUACUUCCUGCCUGAUGGGUACCUGGCCAGCCGAAUGCAGGUGUGUUCUCCCGACAACAUGAGGCUCCUGUGCUCACUCCCCAAAUACACACCGAACACACACUAUUGGGAAUGUUCCCCUAUUUAAAUGUUAUGUGUUGUGUGUCAGAGUUGAGGGACAAUAAGCCAGUGUUUGAGAAGAUGGGUCUGGUGUGUGAGGAGGACAUGCAGAUGCACUCCAAGUUCCUGGACAGAAAGGAGGAGUUGAAGGCAGAACAUGUCUCAUACCUGCACCAGGAGCUCCGUGCCAUGAUGGCCGACUUCCUGCAGUUCCUGUUUCAGCGAAAACCGAGCAAUGUCUUCAUGUUCGCCAGCAAGAACUUCUCUCCCUUCGCCUCCUGACGACCCCUGGGGGGCACCUUCAACACCUCCUUAUCUUGAGGGGUCACACUGUGGCUGCGUCUCAAUAGUCUGGUAGCUUCCUCCCACAGGCACUAUAGUGAGGACAAUACUCUUCUGGUUAGCACUUGACAUUAGUAUGUACAGAGGCCCUCAAUCAUCAAAUAUGAAUGCUUUUGUGGAUAUUUAGUAUUUUAUUUUGUGGUACUGUUUUUACUGUCUACUGUUUUUGUAUGAGCUGCACUGAAAUAAAUUCCAAUCAACUCUGAAA